AGAUCUAAUCGAACCACUUCUCAGCAAUCAGUUCUCUUCUUUACUCAUGUCACUCAAUACCUUCUUAAUGAGUUCAUUUCACCUUCCUCUUUUUGUCCUUUUUUAUAUACAAUUUUCCUUUCCUCCCUACAAACUGAAACCCUAGAAUCGACUCCAAUUAAGCUCUAGCCAUGGCGAUGAAACCAAACGGCAAGUCCCCUGUCUCCUCCGUCAAUGAUCAUGAAGUUAUGUUCUUCAAAAAUAUCUCACGAAGUCCCCACUAUAACCCAGUUAAGAUUUCACAGAAGCUUAAAGUGAUCAUCACUAGGUUCAAACCCAAUCUCAAUCGAGAUCCAAACCCUAUUUUUUCAGAAAAUUUCAUCUGUUAAAUCUCUCAGUCAUACUCUAGGAAAAAAAAUGGCCUCAUCGCAGAUUCAGAUGUCUGAAUUGAAGGCGAGACGGUGCAGUCCACGUGUUGAGACAAGGUUUUAGCGUUUCCGGAAAGCCCGAAAUGGUGAGCUCAUGGGCGGUGAUAUGCUUUCGGUUGAUGGCAAGGUAACUCCCUUCCACUUAAAUUGUUAUCGCCACCGUCCCUUCACAGUUGACGCUAAUCCAAACCUCCAUCAAUGUUCAACGGUUUAACACCUUCUAAAACCUCUAUUCAAAAGCAAGCUGAGAGCUUGACUGAGACAGUAUCAUCGAUUGUGUUUCACACAAUGAUUUCCCAGCCGUUUGUUUCAGUCCUUACUCCUUAGUAAUUCUGUUACUUUUUAAUCUGACAAAACAUGCUUAUUCGAUGUUUGUUUGGUGGUUUUACAGGCCGUUUUAUCUUGAGAUUGAAAUCAUUAAUGUAGAAUGAAAUAGGAUUGUGUUGGGUUUACUAAGGAUAAAUUUAGAUAGACAUUUAUGUUGAUUUUUAAGAUUUUUUUUAAUGCACACAAGCUGUUAAACUCUAGACACAUGUUUAUGAUUUCUCCAACGGGUAAAUUGCUUGCUUGCUCAUGCUAUUGUUCGUUUAUACAAUGUUUCAAAACAAAAGUUUUUCUGCUUUGUCUGUUUCCAAAUAGAACGUUGUUGGUUAGUGAACCUACAAUGGUAUCGCAAAACUGAAAAACAAGAAUGACUGACACAAGAACUCUAGGCCUGAAUUAAGGACACCUAACCAGUUUUUUGGUGAAUCAACAUCUGAUGCAGCUCUUCCUCCAAGGUAAGAGCCUUCUAUUUGUUUCUGUUAUUCUCCCAGUGACAUUUUUUACUACUAGCCUCAUGUUCUCAGUUCAGGUAUACAUCAUAGAGUAAAAUUCUCUGUUACUUUCUUUUCAUAUAGUGCAACUCAAAGCCAUGGGUUGUCUUAUCUAAGGCUAUGAUGCAGUUAUAUUACUGCAAGUUGGUUACUUGAAAGCUGAAACAAUGCUUCAAACUGCCGAUGAACAAGUCAUGACCUUAAAGAAGCAUAGUACGUUUCUGGCUCUGUUAGCAGCAAAAAAAAAAUCAAUAUGCAGAGUCAGUUAGUAGAAACAAUCAUCUCUUACGCUUGAUUCGUGCUCAGAUAAACUCAAAUUUGGAACAAUGAACAUGUGGUUCCUCCUUAACUCACCUGGAAAGGCAACCAUACAUGUGGAAAACGUGAAUUCUUUAAUGCAACAUAUGAGACUCAAUUCAACUUUGGCAAUGAGAUCAGUGCUGGUUAGUGGUUCCUCUACAAGUUGUGUUACACAGAUGGUCAUUGCUCCUCAAGUUCUUUGAUGUAUGGAGGUGUUCAGAAAAUAUAAACAGUAACGGUGCCAGAGCUUGAUUCGUCACCACAGGUCAAUACCGUACUAGCUUCUUAUUUUUAAGCAGGACCCAAGUGUGGAGGACCCGUUGCGAUCUCCCACAAUGUCUCCCGCAUCUCCGCCCUCCCAACAGUGCUGUCAGAGCCUAAACUUUUCAGUUGCAGCUGUCUAAAUUCAAAUUUUCUUCCAACCAUCAGACAUUCACUAUCUCCGCUCUUCGAUCGCAACUGAUAUAGACACAGUAGUAGCUAUCUAACAUUGGGAUAGACGGAGGCAAUCACAACCCUGCCGAUGAUACACCAGGAGCUACAUGUGUUUUCUGCAAGAGUUCUGAGGGAAUGAAGCUCACUGGUAGCUACUGGCCUUGCUCAUGAAACACAUCAGCUCGCAAGUCAAAAUGACUUGAACUUCUCAAGUUUCAGAUACCCUAUUUACUAGCAAGUCUUGAUAUCACCUACUAUGUUUUCAAAUUAUGCGCACAAUAAAUUCGUACUUUGCACUUAUCCAAAACUUUUUGAUUUGCUUA